UACGAAGGGGGCUAGCGUUGCUCGGAAUUACUGGGCGUAAAGCGCACGUAGGCGGAUUGUUAAGUCGGGGGUGAAAUCCUGGAGCUCAACUCCAGAACUGCCUCCGAAACUGGCGAUCUUGAGUCCGGGAGAGGUGAGUGGAACUGCGAGUGUAGAGGUGAAAUUCGUAGAUAUUCGCAAGAACACCAGUGGCGAAGGCGGCUCACUGGCCCGAUACUGACGCUGAGGUGCGAAAGCGUGGGGAGCGAACAGG
rnacentral:rRNA from 1 species